UACAGAGGUGGCAAGCGUUGUUCGGAUUUACUGGGCGUAAAGGGCGCGCAGGCGGCUAUCCAAGUCAGGCGUGAAAGCCCCGGGCUUAACCUGGGAGGUGCGUCUGGGACUGGGUGGCUAGAGUUCGGGAGAGGAGAGUGGAAUUCCCAGUGUAGAGGUGAAAUUCGUAGAUAUUGGGAAGAACACCGGUGGCGAAGGCGGCUCUCUGGACCGAGACUGACGCUGAGGCGCGAAAGCGUGGGGAGCAAACAGG
rnacentral:rRNA from 1 species